rnacentral:lncRNA from 1 species
CCGCUGUGGCUUUUAGCACCUUCAGCUAAUCAAAGCUUCCUCGGCGAUCUCCCUCUUACCUUUGAUGUGCCUUUAAUCUGAGACGGACGGGCUGCGGGAUUAGCCCAUCAGCUAACGUUAGUGUUUACUCGCCAUCCCUGCGGUCCGAUCGACGGCGGCGCCGGCCGAAGAGCGGCAGGACUUGAUGUAAAGGAGCCAUCGAUCAGAGUCUGGUUGCAUCACGUGUGAGGCCGCUAACGGCCGCAGCGUCUGCAUCCUCACGCCAUCGCAGCGACCCGCUCGCUCACCCCCCCCCCCCCGCCCCCCCACCCCCCCCCACACACACACACACGCCUUACAUCAUCUCAACGCUGGUCCCAGACCAGCUGCUGAGCGGCGGCGGCCCGGUUGCACGUCCUUCCACAAGGUUCUGGUGGCAGAGCGGGGGCCCGGUGGCCCCGUCCCGGACCAAAAAGGGCCUGAGCAGAAUCAAGAGUCAGCAAACCUGACGGGGAAUUACGUCCCUGCAUCCGUUUCGGAGCGGGAAUGUUGUCGGAAGCAGAGGCUGCGUUGUUCCCUCCCCCCAAAAGAUUAAAAUAAAUAAAGAUGGAAUCGGGGAAUGAGAAUUUAACUUUCUGGGCGAUAACGGGAACGUCGAGCUCUUCCCGCUCCGUAAUCAAUAACCGGGGAGGCGGAGGAGGAAACGCUGAGAUUGAGGACGUGUGCGUGAGGACGCCGAUGUGCCCGCCAGCAGAACCCGCCGAGCGUUGCCUGGAGAUAAGUUGGUGUAAUCUUGGCUCGUAUCCAGGCGGGGAUCUGUGCCGGGAUUAUAAAGACAAAGCAUCCGGCAGAAUACAGGAAAAGUGGGCAGAAAGGGCUCCGGAAUACUGGCAAACAUCAAAUACUCCAGAGUCCCACAAGGCUGGAUCCUGCCGUGGUCAUAGUCUUAUUAAAUUUAAAAUUUAAAAAAAAAGCUUGAAAUGUAUUACUGACAUCACACCUGCGCUAACGCUAAUGCUAGCAGUUUCGGCUCUAUUAGUAAAUGAAUUGUGGGUGGUACCGAAUGGUUCAUCCCAGCUCGUUGAAGGCUGCUCUAAUGAGAGCGGUAACAGGUGUGAUGGGAGGAGGGAAGUUCUUAAUCGCCCAGAUCCGCCGCUGCUUUAUUACACCCUUCAGUCAUCAAUCUCCCUUAUCAGUGUGUCCUGGCUAUUUUUCACCGACAAACUGAUUUCCUCAACAGGAGCCAAUAAAUUAUUCUCAAUCCUGAAAGGGAAGUAAAAGGGAAGAAAAACAUAUCUCGUGGACGUCGCCUUGCAUCUCC